GCAUUCUGAGGAUAUGCUGUACUUGGUCACCUUUAUGUGUAUUUCUGGACUUGAUUUGCUAAUAUUUUGAGAACUUUUUUACGUUUAUGAAGAAUAUUGGUGAUGGUUUUCUCAUAUCUUCAUCUGAUUUUUUUUUUUUAAUUUUUAUUUAUUUACGAUAGGCACACAGUGAGAGAGAGAGAAGCAGAGACACAGGCAGAGGGAGAAGCAGGCUCCAUGCACCGGGAGCCCGACGUGGGAUUCGAUCCCGGGUCUCCAGGAUCGCGCCCUGGGCCAAAGGCAGGCGCCAAACCGCUGCGCCACCCAGGGAUCCCUCUUCAUCUGAUUUUAGUGUCAAGCUUUUUCACCCCCUUUGAUGGUGGGGGAAAUCCAGGACACAGAUUGCCAGCACGUACUAUGGAAUAGAUUUGUGGACAAGUUCCAGAGGGUGAAUUUCCAGCAAAUCCCACUGGUACAGCACCAAAGUGUGAGUGAUGGCUGUUAUCUUUUCUAACAAGGUCUGACUAUUGAGCUCUGAAGGGAAAAUUCUUCCUUGGGGACUCUGUCCUAGCCUUAGCAGGAGUGGCUAUUUUGUAUCAUAUUUAUGACAUCUGCUGCUGUUAUAUUCUUGAGCACUGUCUCAGCUUCUUACUGGCCACUCCUACUUAUCCCAGUUCCUUGAGGUAGUUAAUAAUUAUUUCUGUCAAAUGUUGUUUUUUCAGACUUAAUGUUUGAUUUCUCUCCUUAUUCAUCAUUUUUGGCAAAAGUAAUGUGUCCCCUUCAGUGCUUUACAUUAGGAAACCAUGAUGUCCUCUUGUCCCAUUGCUGUUGUUUGGCUUUCAUCACUAGUUUGAACUGCCAGAUUUCUCCACUUUUCCCCCUUUGUAAUUAAUAACUUCCUGUGAGAUACUUUGGGUCUCUGUCAGUGUUCUGUUCCCAAAAACUGUAGAUAGCAUCCACUGCUGAUUCUUCCCUUCAUCAUUUAUUAUUGUGAUGUUGCAAAAUGGUGAUUUUUCUGUCCCUCUCAGCUUAUUAGCUGAUACUGUACUGUAUGAAUGAGACUUUCCUUUUCCAUUUAUUACUGUGGGCUUGUGAAAUUUUUUUAUAUUAUAAACUAUUCCUUUCAUUAUUUUGAUAACCACAUUGUUCCAAGUUGGGCAGUAGAAGCCCCUUCAAGUUGAAAUCUUGUCCUUUGACACACACCUAUUGAUUGUUGAAUACUUCUAACUUUCUGGAAAACCAGAUAGUUUCUAGGCUUAUCUUCUACUUUUACUGUACCAGCCUUGGUUAUUUCUCUAAAGAGCCCCAAUUCCUUUUUUAGUGAAGUCCAACUUAUCUUUUAUGAAUUUUUCUUUUGUUUGGUAUCUAAGAAAUCUUUACCUAACAUGUUUUCCUCUUGAAGUUUCCAAGCUUUAAGUUUUACGUU
rnacentral:lncRNA from 1 species